CCGUCAACACCUGCGAGUCCCGUGACACAAUCGUUCGAUUUUUUGGCACCCACCGACCGGCUCUCGUCCCGCUCGGAACGUUUUUUAUCGUUAUUAUUAGGCCGAUGAUUAUCGCGUUAUCCGCGGGUGACGUUGUAUCAUGUGAAAUCGAGGAUCGAAUCGUUGACACGCAUACGCGACUACAGUUGGGAUCGUGAUCUUAACACGUUGAAUGCCGUGGGAGUCGCUGGUGACCGGAGCUUCGAAAUAACUCGGAAACAAUUAGAAUUCGUAAGGUGUAAGUGGUAAAACGCUGUUUUUCGUGGCAGUCAAGCAACGUGUUAAUGGACGCUGCCGUGCGCGAUAAUGUGAAACGGACCUAAUGGUGUUAAUUACGACGAAAAUGAAUUUUUCAUAGGAACUUUACAUGCUAAGUAAUUGCAACAGAAGAAAUUAAAUCAUUUUGACCCAUCUUGUAAUUCCAAUGUUAAAUUUCCAUUCUUUUACGGUCUUAGCCGUCUAUAAGCGCAACGACUGUUACGAGCACUCUUUAUUUACCGUUCAAUCUUCAUAAAACGAUAUUUAAUCUGUCGACCGCUACAGGUAUCGAGCGAUAGCUCUAAAAAAUUUGAUUUAUCAUUCAACAGAAGUGACAGCCGUAUUUUUAGAGCGUCGAGAGAAAAAGUGGAAUGUAAUAGUCCGAAGAGGUUAUGGUAACGCGAGAAGCUAACGUUCGAAUUGAUUUUGAAAAUUCCAAGCCGGUGACGCGUCAUUGUAAACUGUGCCAAGAAGCGGCGCGGAGGAAAUUGUAAACGAUGAAAUUUCGAGAAAGAUUGUUCGAAAUAGUCUAUGAUUAAAGAAGGAACAUAGACGUGCAACGGGCAUCCUCCGUGCGCAAAAAA